AUGGGCGCCCCGGGUCCAGGGCCCGCGGAGCCGCUCUCGGGGCGGAGACCUUGCCCCCAGGGGCACGUCAGCGGUCCUGAGGUGAGGCUCCUGCAGAGCACUCUGGGCCGCGUGUGUCUCUCCCUGCGUGGGCAGGCAGUGUCGGUGGCCGGAGCGAGGGUGUUUUCCCAUCGGGGUGAGAGGGAGAGCCCCAGGGUGGGCCUGGGGGCGGAAUCGGACUCGGGGUUGGGGUGGACUCUUCUGAAGCUGGGAGGGGUGCGGGUGGGCAGGGCCUUAGGGAGCCUGAGGGAGGCGCGGUUCCUGGGGGAAGGGUGUGGCGAGGCGGCGGCAGCCCGCGUGCGCUGUGGCGCCCCAGCGAAGGGGCAGUGCUGGCCACUCGUGUGGCCCUUUGGCUGCUGGCACCCAGUGAGAGGGGGGAGGCCAGGGACAGGUGGCAGCCAGGCUGCCCACAGGCCCUGGGCGGUGGGGGGCCCGGCCCCUGUGCCUUGGGCAGCCUGGCCCCUUGCUGAGGCGUGCUUGCGCGUGUCCGUUGUCGCCCUCACCCAGCUGCUGCGGCGGAGAGACGGAGGCCAGCGCGGGGAGCGGAAGCCGGAGCCUGUCGGGAGCGACCCCGGGAAGGCCAGUCCCUCCUGCCGGAGGGAGGCGUGUUGGCGUGCGGCCGGUGGCGGGAUCGAUGGCCACCUGGUAGGCGAUGCUGCUGCGGCGGAGAAACGGAGGCCAGCGCGGGGAGCGGAAGCCGGAGCCUGUCGGGAGCGACCCCGGGAAGGCCAGUCCCUCCUGCCGGAGGGAGGCGUGUUGGCGUGCGGCCGGUGGCGGGAUCGAUGGCCACCUGGUAGGGUAGCGGCGUGGCCCAAGGUAGCCCCCGGGGGCGGUGUGUGGCGCCCGGACCCGCACCCUCUGCUCCCGGGGGUGGAGCUGACCUGCUUGCCCGCGGUUGGGCUCGGGAGCCUGCGGGCCGCGGCCAGGAGGGAGCUGGCUGGCCGUCCCGGCGGUGGGGGCUGUGGCGGUGGCCGUCCCGCGGGUGUGCCCGUGCUCGGAUCGAUGAUGACACCCACAAACGCAUUCCUUGGAAAAUCUGAACAAAAUGAGUGAGAACUCACUACCGUCUCCUCAUCGCAAACUGAGGUCCGGCACGUGGCUCCCACAGGGGACGUCGGGGGAGGGUCCCGUUGCCUUGGCUCCCUUGGGUGCGUGCAGCCCUGGGGCGCAGGUGGGGGCAGGCAGGCCUCCGGUGGCCCGGAGGGCCAUGGGGAGAGGAGCCUUGGGGCUGGCCUCCUCGGGGCAGCCCCGGGGCCCCGGGGCCCCGGUGCCCGGCGGGAAAGCCUUGGGAGUGGCAGGCCCAGUGUGGGGUGGGCUGCCUGCGGUGUGCGUGAGCUCCGCUGGGCUCUCAGGCCUGCGGCUGCCUCCGUGAGGCCUCGCGGGUCCUGCCCGCGGUGUCGGGCGCAGAGGCUGUCUGUAGGUUGCGGGUGAGCAGCGGGGGCCUUGGCCUCGGCGGGACUGCCGACCCAGGUUCUGGUGGGGAGAGAGGAGGCCGGCCGGGGGGCCUUGCCGAGAUGGCCGUUUGGGCGGGGUGGAUGCCUUGCCUGCGUCUUCCGGGGUCGGCGGGGCUGCCAGUGCCUGUCCCUCGCAGAGUCCUGGGGCAUCGGAACCUGGAGCCCCUGCGGCAUUUCCCAGAGAGUGGAGGCGGUGGGGCGCCAGGUGGCCCUGGGCGGUGCCGAGUCGGCCGCGGACUGGGGUCGAGAGAAGUGCGGGAGGGCCAGAGGUCCUGGGCCAGUGUGCGCACAGCACCGUGAGGGGGAGAGUUGGGUGCCCGGGGCGGCAGUGCCUUCAGGGCGGCCUGGGCUAUGAUGUGGGAUAUCCUCAGAGAUUUGGGCGGCGCGUGGAAGGCAGGACGGAGGGGUCCCGGGCACGUGAAUGGGAGCUGGGUGCCUGUGCCCUGGCCGGUCAUGGGUGCCGGCGGGCCAUAGAUGUGUGAGCCCGCGGCCAGCUCCCGGGGCCGCUAAGGUUCCACACACGGGGCUGGGCUUGAGGCCGUGCGGCGCCCCUGGCCUGGCUGAGGCCGUGUUCCCGGGGAGGGAGGACAGGGAGUUGCGCAGUGGGAGGCAGUGUGAGGUUGAUACCCAGCAGAGCUAGCCACGCCUGCGGACUGGAGCCCAGCCGAGCUGGUGCCGGGCGGGAGCUGGUGGCAAGGAGGGAGUCUGCUGUGGAGGAAAGGGGGCAGGCGGCGGCGGAAGGGGCGUGAGUUUCGGUGCGAGGGUCCCGCUGGGCCCAGGGCCUGGUGCGUCUCCCGUGGAGACGCUGGUGCUGGAGGUAGGGAGGCCUGGGUGUGCAUGGGUGUGCCACGCAAAGGAGAGGGUCCCAUGGGGCCCGGCGGGCCUUCCGGUGCUGGCGCGGGGCUGUGGCGUGUGCCUUGCGUGGGGCCCGAGCGCCCAACUGGUGGCAGGUUCCGGGCGCCCGGCGGCAGGCGGUCUGUGCGGGUUGCGUUGUGUCCGGUGGACAGGCAGCCGCCAUGGGGCGCGGUUUGGGGCAGGCAGGCCUCCGGUGUCCCCAGAGUGCCCCGGGGAGACCUGCCUGGGG
rnacentral:lncRNA from 9 species